AGAGGGUGCAAGCGUUAAUCGGAAUUACUGGGCGUAAAGGGCGCGUAGGUGGGUUUAAUUAAGUCAGAUGUGAAAACCCCCUGGGGCUCAACCUAGGGACGUGCAUUUGAAACUGAUUGACUAGAGAUCAGGAGAGGGAAGUGGAAUUUCCGGUGUAGCGGUGAAAUGCGUAGAUAUCGGAAGGAACAUCAGUGGCGAAGGCGACUUCCUGGCCUGAUACUGACACUGAGGCGCGAAAGCGUGGGUAGCGAACAGGAUUAGAUACCCUGGUAGUCCACGCAGUAAACGAUGAGAACUAGAUGUUAGGGCGCUAGCCGUCUUAGUAUCGCAGCUAACGCAUUAAGUUCUCCGCCUGGGGAGUACGGUCGCAAAGAUUA
rnacentral:rRNA from 1 species